rnacentral:rRNA from 1 species
UGAGGAAUAUUGGUCAAUGGGCGGAAGCCUGAACCAGCCAUGCCGCGUGAAGGACUAAGGCCCUAUGGGUCGUAAACUUCUUUAGACGCAGAGCAAUAAGGGUCUCGCGAGAUCCGAUGAGAGUAUGCGUAGAAUAAGCAUCGGCUAACUCCGUGCCAGCAGCCGCGGUAAUACGGGGGAUGCGAGCGUUAUCCGGAUUCAUUGGGUUUAAAGGGUGCGCAGGCGGGUCUGUAAGCCCGUGGUGAAAGCCUGGUGCUCAACGCCAGAGGUGCCGCGGGAACUGCAGGUCUUGAGUCGUGACGAGGGCGGCGGAAUGCGAAGUGUAGCGGUGAAAUGCUUAGAUAGUUCGCAGAACGCCGAUUGCGAAGGCAGCCGCCCAGGGACGCACUGACGCUGAGGCACGAAGGCAUGGGGAUCGAACA